rnacentral:rRNA from 1 species
UGAGGAAUAUUGGUCAAUGGGCGGAAGCCUGAACCAGCCAUGCCGCGUGCAGGAAGACGGCCCUACGGGUUGUAAACUGCUUUUCCGGGGGAAGAAUAAUCCCGACGUGUCGGGAGACGAUGGUACCCCGGGAAUAAGGAUCGGCUAACUCCGUGCCAGCAGCCGCGGUAAUACGGAGGAUCCGAGCGUUAUCCGGAUUUACUGGGUUUAAAGGGUGCGUAGGCGGGCGCGUAAGUCAGCGGUGAAAUGCGGGGGCUCAACCUUCGAACGGCCGUUGAUACUGGGGGCCUUGGAUUCGGUCGAGGCGGGCGGAAUGCGACAUGUAGCGGUGAAAUGCUUAGAUAUGUCGCAGAACGCCGAUUGCGAAGGCAGCUCGCCGGGCCGAUAUUGACGCUGAGGCACGAAAGCGUGGGGAUCGAACA